UUCAGGGUAGCCGGGGGAGGCUGGAGCCUGUCCCAGAUGACUAAAAUCCCAUUUAAUAUGCUGCUGCACCAACAAACUACUUGCAAGGCAACAAGAUUUAUUGCAAAGAAGCAUUGUUACAACAAAGAAAUAAUCAAACAAACCCAAGCUAUGUGUAGUAAAAAAUGUACGGGACCUUAGGACCUGCUGCUCAACGUCAGCGAGACACAAUGGACUGUCUGGCCUGGGUAUUUUAGGUGUGCAAAUUUUCUGUGAUGGCUACCGCUGGCCACACCAUAAAUGUCAACAGCACUUCUCAGCAGUACACUCAGCAACCGACUGCAGCACCUGGGCCCUCUCAGUCCCACCAGAGAGCGUCCUACCAGCCAGCACCAGCUCAGCCUGAUGACCCAGCUGAGCUCAUGACCACAUCACCCAGCCAUGAACAGCCAUUCCUAAGACCACCACCAUCAUACGAGGAAACAACUGGUCCUGCCUACCCUCUACAACUGAUGCCUUCCAGUGAGACAGUGUUCAUCCCACUGUACCUAUCAGAGGGUACUGUGCAUGAGCACAACGGUCUACAGGACAGCACAGACUUCCUAACCAGCACUGCAUGCGACCCUGAAUUUGUUAUACGCUAGGCUUAAUAGUCAUAGCGCCCCAAGCAGACACAAACAUGAUGCAAAAUAUUUGGCUCAAAUGGAAGUAUGUACUUUGAAUGAAGAUGAGACACAGCAGUGUAACUUGAUGUAUUUUCAAUUUUAUUCUUUAAACCAGUUUUUAGUGGCUCAAGUUAUUUAGAAAAAUUGAAACAUAAGGUCACUGUUUCUCACUAAUUGUCUUUGGCCUUAUUCCUCAAGAUCUCUCCCUCUUGUCUUUACUCUCUAUCGGGGAAAGUACUUGACAGUCAGAUUCAGUUGUCAGCAGUUAGAAGGUGUUUCAGUGUUCAUUAGAAAUGCAUCGAUGGAUGCACAUGCAAGAUAAAUAUGAACACGUUAAAGAAGCUGACGUUAAAGUCAGGCGGUUGUACAGAAAAUCAUUGUGAAGUUAAUAACUUUUGUUAUUAUUUUAUUAUAGUCUCUUAUUAUAUUUUUUUACAUUGGAUACAGUUUGAGUUAUAGAUUUUAGAAAAACAAUCAGUUGUUAAACAGUGCGUCUCUAGUAUCUGUGGAUAUCGUCUCAUCGCUAUCUAUGAAUUUACUGCAGACCUGCAAAGUGCUGUUAACCCUUUUUCUCUGUGUAUUUGUGUGCAUUGCCUUGUAAGUCAUGCCCCAUGUGAAUGAAUUCAAAGAGUGCAAACAUUUAUUACUGAGGGUUUUUUCUCCAUUCAUGUCAGGUCAGCUGAUCACUCACACUUCCUGAACACAUACAGUUCCACUUUUUUAAUGCAUGUUGUUUUCAGUGUGUAAAAGAUGCGUUUACACUGUAUUAUUUUUGUUAGGACAUCACACGCUCCCCCAUUGAGUGAGCUGAAUUCUGGAUCUGUAAUUUAUGCUCUAGGUAAUUAUUGAAAUGAACUGACUGCUCCUUUGUAUAUACAUUUUCUCACGGAUAGAUCGAUGUGCAGCGGCCCUUCGGUCUCCCUUUACAGGGAGUGCAGAAUUAUUAGGCAAAUGAGUAUUUUGUCCACAUCAUCCUCUUCAUGCAUGUUGUCUUACUCCAAGCUGUAUAGGCUCGAAAGCCUACUACCAAUUAAGCAUAUUAGGUGAUGUGCAUCUCUGUAAUGAGAAGGGGUGUGGUCUAAUGACAUCAACACCCUAUAUCAGGUGUGCAUAAUUAUUAGGCAACUUCCUUUCCUUUGGCAAAAUGGGUCAAAAGAAGGACUUGACAGGCACAGAAAAGUCAAAAAUAGUGAGAUAUCUUGCAGAGGGAUGCAGCAGUCUCAAAAUUGCAAAGCUUCUGAAGCGUGAUCAUCGAACAAUCAAGCGUUUCAUUCAAAGUAGUCAACAGGGUCGCAAGAAGCGUGUGGAAAAACCAAGGCGCAAAAUAACUGCCCAUGAACUGAGAAAAGUCAAGCGUGCAGCUGCCAAGAUGCCACUUGCCACCAGUUUGGCCAUAUUUCAGAGCUGCAACAUCACUGGAGUGCCCAAAAGCACAAGGUGUGCAAUACUCAGAGACAUGGCCAAGGUAAGAAAGGCUGAAAGACGACCACCACUGAACAAGACACACAAGCUGAAACGUCAAGACUGGGCCAAGAAAUAUCUCAAGACUGAUUUUUCUAAGGUUUUAUGGACUGAUGAAAUGAGAGUGAGUCUUGAUGGGCCAGAUGGAUGGGCCCGUGGCUGGAUUGGUAAAGGGCAGAUAGCUCCAGUCCGACUCAGACGCCAGCAAGGUGGAGGUGGAGUACUGGUUUGGGCUGGUAUCAUCAAAGAUGAGCUUGUGGGGCCUUUUCGGGUUGAGGAUGGAGUCAAGCUCAACUCCCAGUCCUACUGCCAGUUUCUGGAAGACACCUUCUUCAAGCAGUGGUACAGGAAGAAGUCUGCAUCGUUCAAGAAAAACAUGAUUUUCAUGCAGGACAAUGCUCCAUCACACGUCCAAGUACUCCACAGCGUGGCUGGCAAGAAAGGGUAUAAAAGAAGAAAAACUAAUGACAUGGCCUCCUUGUUCACCUGAUCUGAACUCCAUUGAGAACAUGUGGUCCAUCAUCAAAUGUGAGAUUUACAAGGAGGGAAAACAGUACACCUCUCUGAACAGUGUCUGGGAGGCUGUGGUUGCUGCUGCACGCAAUGUUGAUGGUGAACAGAUCAAAACACUGACAGAAUCCAUGGAUGGCAGGCUUUUGAGUGUCCUUGCAAAGACAGGUGGCUAUAUUGGUCGCUGAUUUGUUUUUGUUUUGUUUUUGAAUGUCAGAAAUGUAUAUUUGUGAAUGUGGAGAUGUUAUAUUAGUUUCACUGGUAAAAAUAAAUUAUUGAAAUGGGUAUAUAUUUGUUUUUGUUAAGUUGCCUAAUAAUUAUGCACAGUAAUAGUCACCUGCACACACAGAUAUCCCCCUAAAAUAGCUAAAACUAAAAACAAACUGAAAACUACUUCCAAAAACAUUCAGCUUUGAUAUUAAUGAGUUUUUUCGGUUCAUUGAGAACAUGGUUGUUGUUCAAUAAUAAAAUUAUUCCUCAAAAAUACAACUUGCCUAAUAAUUCUGCACUCCCUGUACUGUACAUCCUGUACCUUAGCCUGUGUAGUGAUAUUGACAACAAAAAUAAUUAAAAAUACACUUACCCAUCGGGGCGCCGGAAACUGGUAGAUUGCAGGUAUGCCAGUUUGUCAGUCCAGCUCUGGCUGGUAAACCAAACCAGAUUAAUUAAUCUGGCCUAAAUAUUGUUAUGAGAGUUGUGAAAACUCAUUUUGUCGUUAUUGAUUUUCUGGCACGGAAUACCUUUGAAGUAGCAAAUAAAUUACGAUCGAUUAAACUUACUAUCAAUAUGUUUUUUUCCUCUUAUGAAAUAAAAGUGUCGGAGUUUCGAGCCUGUGCGGUUUCGCCAAACUUGCAGUCGAGAAUUUUCAAAGUAAAAGCCAUCUAAAGCGUCAAAAAUUAAUUGUUAACAUGCCAAUUUUUACUGUCUUGAUUUUAAUUCGACAAUAAAUAAACAAACAGACUUCUGUGACCUCACUGUUAUGGCCAUGUUCAUAAGAAAAGAUGUGCUUAUAGAUCAUGAUUGUAAAUUGUCUGUGAAUGGAAGAAGGCUGUCAGUGGGCUGGAAUAUGCAUUCAGUGUGGAGGCCACGUGUGUGGAAGAUCUACAGCAAGUAGUUUCGCGUUAAGGGGUUCAGAUCAGACCCCUUCCUCUAAGACGUGUUGGCUCUGGGUGUGCUCCCGUCCCAUCGUGUAUCCGCUUCUGCAGCUACUUGUGCAAGAUUGCUGCCAAUGAAGAAGAGUAGAGCCUCCUACCAGCCAACACCAGCAGAGCUCAUGACCACAUCACCAAACCAUGAACAACCAUUCCCACAAAAACCACCACCAUCGUAUGAGGAAACAAUUAGUACACUCCACCUGAUGCCUUCCAGCCAGACUGUGUUCAUCCCCAGCGAUCCACUGUACCCUUCAGAGGGUUGAACUCCCAUCAUACACUUCCACUUCUCCCUGUUAUUGCUGUCAUGAAUGACUUUAACUUACUCUGUGUUAUACUCGGCAUUGUCUUCUGGUGCUGUGUCUUCACCUGCAGCUGUCUGUGCAGGAGCGCUGCCAAUCCAAACUCUGAGGUGGCUGCUGCUACCCACACCUUGGUCACUGCCACACCUCAGCAGUAUCCACAGCAGUACCCUCAGUACCCAGUACCCCCUCAGUCCUAUCAGAGAGUGCCCUACCAGCCAGUACCAGGGCACCCUGGUUACCCAGCUAUGCCUGGCAAUCAAGCUGUGCUCAUGACCAUACCACUCAGCUAUGAACAGCCAUUUACGCCACCACCAUCGUAUCAGGAUGCAAUUGGUCCCACCUAUCCUCUGCAACCAAUCAACCAAUCUUCCAGCCAGCCAGAGUGCCCUUCAAAGCCUCCAGCCCAGCCACAGUCCAAUGCUCUAACUGACAGCUCAGACUUCCUCGCCAGCUCGGCAAACAACCAGGAAUUUGUUCUGCCAUAUAGGCUGGAUACUUAGUGUAUCAAUCAGACAGAAAAAUUUUACCACCUGUUGUUAAUUCAUUAUUUAAUUCAAUUUGACAAACUAAGCCUUGUACACAGGGAAAGUUGUUGUUUGUUAUGUUUUUUGUGUUCACAUGGACAGAAGACUUCCCUGCUAAGGCGUUUAUUUUUUUCCCCAUCUUAUAGCCUCAUUUCCAAAAUGGUUGGAAACGCUGUACAAAAUGUAAACAAUUACUGAAUGCAGUGAUGUGCAAAUAACAUAAAGAUCACAUUUAAAACAAUA
ensembl:lncRNA